CCAAUAGCGUAUAUUAAAGUUGUUGCAGUUAAAAAGCUCGUAGUUGAAUUUCGGGGUCAAUAAGUUGGUCAUGCCAAUGGUAUGCACUGGCUUUAUUGAUUCCUACCUCUUGACGAACUGUGAUGCCAUUAAUUUGGUGUUGCAAGGAAUCAGGACUGUUACCUUGAAAAAAUUAGAGUGUUUAAAGCAAGCUUACGCUUGAAUACAUUAGCAUGGAAUAAUGAAAUAGGAUGUUUGAUCCUAUUUUGUUGGUUUCUAGGAUCGACGUAAUGAUUAAUAGGGAUAGUUGGGGGCAUUAGUAUUCAAUUGUCAGAGGUGAAAUUCUUGGAUUUAUUGAAGACUAACUACUGCGAAAGCAUUUGCCAAGGAUGUUUUCAUUAAUCAAGAACGAAAGUUAGGGGAUCGAAGACGAUCAGAUACCGUCGUAGUCUUAACCAUAAACUAUGCCGACUAGGGAUCGGAUGAUGUUAAUUUUUUAAUGACUCAUUCGGCGCCUUACGGGAAACCAAAGUGUUUGGGUU
rnacentral:rRNA from 1 species